CCUACGGGGGGCUGCAGUGAGGAAUAUUGGUCAAUGGCCGGAAGGCUGAACCAGCCAAGCCGCGUGAAGGACGAAGGUGCCAAGCAUUGUAAACUUCUUUUGUCAAGGGACAAAAUCAGGCUCGAGAGCCUGACCGUGGGUACUUGAAGAAAAAGCAUCGGCUAACUCCGUGCCAGCAGCCGCGGUAAUACGGAGGAUGCGAGCGUUAUCCGGAUUUAUUGGGUUUAAAGGGUGCGUAGGCGGACUGUUAAGUCAGCGGUAAAAGCCCGGGGCUCAACCCCGGCGAGCCGUUGAGACUGGCUGUCUUGAGAUGUCGAGAGGUAUGCGGAAUGCGCAGUGUAGCGGUGAAAUGCUUAGAUAUUGCGCAGAACUCCGAUUGCGAAGGCAGCAUACCGGCGGCGAUCUGACGCUGAGGCACGAAAGCGUGGGUAUCGAACAGGAUUAGAUACCCGUGUAGUC
rnacentral:rRNA from 1 species